rnacentral:rRNA from 1 species
CCUACGUGAGGCUGCAGUGAGGAAUAUUGGUCAAUGGACGAGAGUCUGAACCAGCCAAGUAGCGUGAAGGAUGACUGCCCUAUGGGUUGUAAACUUCUGUUAUAAAGGAAUAAAACGAGGCACGUGUGCCUGUUUGCAUGUACUUUAUGAAUAAGGAUAGGCUAACGCCGUGCCAGCAGCCGCGGUAAUACGGAGGAUCCGAGCGUUAUCCGGAUUUAUUGGGUGUAAAGGGAGCGUAGAUGGGUUGUUAAGUAAGUAGUGAAAGUUUGCGGCUCAACCGUAAAAUUGCAAUUGAUACUGGCAGUCUUGAGUACAGUUGAGGUAAGCGUAAUUCGUGUUGUAGCGG